AAACAAGGAAACUUUUCGGAGCUGUCAAUCAGGGCCCAAUCAGCUGACUGUCAGCUGGGACGGGCUGGCUUAACCCUUCCUGCGCCGCUGCCUACCCGGGAGCGAACGAGGCCCGGCGCAAAGUUUGGUGUAAGAGGGGAAGGAGUUUUUCCAGAGGGGCUUCGGCAGUCCGGGCGGACCUGGGAGGACGGUUUGCUUUUCUUUGGAGCGCGAGACAGGCCUCCCAUCCAGAGCCGCAGCUCCCCGGGGGCUCACUCUGCGGGGAUUGGCCUGAUUCCCCUCCCCUGCCUGCCCCCCACCCCCAGGAUUGUGAAUUCGCAUCCCAGCUUCUCCUCCUCGCACCACCUCUGGCACCCAGGUGUCUGCCGGGGACCUUCCUUCCCUGAGCCUGGCGGUGCCCGCCGCUCAAACUUGGCCCCAACUCUUUGUCCGUCUCUCGGGCGCCGUUGCGGGGAAGGGACCGGGAAGGGAGGGAUGCACUGGGGUGUCCGGGUCGGGGCUGCGGGGUGGACGCCGCCCGCUCGUGCGCCUGCCCAGAAGACUGGGAGUCCGUGGAGAGAGAAAGCCCAUUUUAUCACUCUCUUUAAAAGGAGGUAAAAUAAGUUGUUUAGAGACCAUUCUUCACGGAGACUGGUUGCCCGCUGGUGUCGCGUGCCCUUGGACAGAGCGAGCGCCUAUGCGAGAUAACUCCGGGGAAGCUCAAAGUCAGGUCAGCCGGGCUCAGCCCUCCGGCUCCUGACUGGCCGGAGUUUGGCCUUUGAGACUCAUAUUGCGCGCUCGCUGUCUCUCUCUUACACACACACACACACUCACACUCACCCAUCCCCUUACGAAAUCUGACCUCUGUUUAUGAGGGUCAGGCGUGCCCUUUGCACUUUUACGUUUCCUUUAAUUAUUUCGGACUUGAUCGUGACGGGGAGCAAGGGGGAAAAACAAUACCCCAGCCCUCACCAGCUCACCUCGAAGGGUUAAAUUUUAAACCGCGGUUUCUGGAACUAGUCCGGAAACGCAGAGGGGGGGUGGAGUGGGGGAGGCUGCUCCCCCCACCCCCAGUUGCAAAUGCUAAUAAGUAGUUGAAAUUUCUAGAUUGAUUCUGUAAAAGUUUAUGCAAAAAAGAAAUAAAAAAGAAAAAGAAAAGAGAAAGAAGGAAACCAACAACUAACUCUGUUUCUAAGAUUUUAAAGCGAUAGGCAAGUCGAAGAAGCAGAGAUUUAUUUGGAGAGAAAGCUCCUGAAACCGACCCAGCCUUUCGAAGACCAGCCCGCCUGCUUAGAAGUUGGGACUGUUGAUUCCUUCAAUUAAUGAAAUGCAUUUGGUGUUGUUAAUCGUAUUUAUUUUACUUUAUGAGAGGGGGGAGACGCUAGGAGGGUGCAUUAAAAAAAAAUUCUGAAAAGCCUGCAAAAGGAUCGAAGAGUGGAAACUAUUGUUGGAGCGAGUUGGUUUUUACCUCAACAGCGCCACCUUUCGGCAAAGGGUUCUUCCUUGGAAAACAAUAUACAUCACUUAAUGAAAUCUUUGUUUUGCGCAAGAGAUGUAAAAAAUCCAGAUGUUUUCUUCUGUGAGAAUUCCUGGGAAGGUGUACCAGCCUUCUUCUCUUUCUUCACCUGACAAAGACACCCAACACAGCCUUGCAGACCGGAGGUGUUUUAAUACAUAGUUUUGUGCACACAUGAACGUGGGAAUGAAAGGGCUGCUUUUGGUUUUAGACAAUAGACAGAGCUAUAAAAUGAUGAUGGAGCCUGUUUUCCCCACUCUUGUCAUUUUAAGUUAGUAGAUUUCCCGGGUUUGUUUGUUGUUGUUUUCCCCCCACCCCCCCACCCCCACUUUCCCUUUUCAGGGGAUAGGCAUCUCCUUAGAUUUUUGUUUUCCUGUAAUUAGGGUCAGCUUUAUGAUUCGUUCUUCCACUGUCAUCCUUUUUCAUCCUAUUCACAGCCUGUACCGGUGAGGGAAUUUGUCUCAAAAGCAUUCAGCCCUUCAAAGAUUUUUACUGUGGUGAACUCAGAACUGAUUAACGGAAAAACAGAAACAGAAAAAGCGACCUGAUAUGGGGGGAUCUUGAUGCCGGUUGCAUCUCUCACGCACGGUAACUCAGAGGACAGGCUCCUCGGUAGUGCGGUAGUGCUAGUUCUGUGAAGUUUUUUUACCCUCCUUCCUAGCCCUGGAGGCGGGGUGAUUCAUAGCUCCUGUUCCAAAGGCAUUCAGCAGCCAUUCGACCUGGGAAAGAAACGGAGUUUUAGAAAAUACAGGCCACACGUAGAGACGCCUGUGAUUACCAGGAUGAGUAUGUCAGUGCAGGUGGCUUCUGAAUUUCUGUUUCCGAGUUUGUUUGGCUGAUGCCUGAGUAAAGGGGUCCCUUACGGCCCUGUUUUAUACCUUAGUUCUUGGUGGCAACGUGGGUGUUGCUGAUCUCUCUGAUGUGUUUUUCUGUGCAUUGAAAACACCAGACAUGCUCCGUGACAUCCUUGCAGCAUCUGCCAUCAUAACGGAGUGUUCCUAAUCUGACGAAUAGAAUAUUACCUCCCCGUCCACUCAAAAUAAAAUUAAAGUAAAAUUUA